UGUUUGUGCUGGAAGCCCUGAGUCUCAUUGUGGCUUUUUCCUGAAAUGUCAUACAUCAUGUCUAGUCCAAAGAUCAGAUGACUAUACUGAAGUGCCAACUGAAGCCCAGGAAACGGAAAUUAAUUGUUCAAGAAAAUACACGAAGGUUGAACUUGACUUGACAUCAAAUGGCAAGAUAAUAUUAUGUCGUUAUCCUAUAGGUAUUUCCCCAUGAGUAUAUAAAGCCUAGCAUUUGACCAGAUCCUAUCUAUAACCAAGAAGAAACACAAGAUCCAGUGCAAAAUGCCAAAUUAGAAAGAAAAGGUAAAGCUGCUGAGCAAGAGUUCGUGAGAAAACAGCUUAGCCCUCAUGGACUUUAUCAUCAAUAGUUGAGACUCAUAUUGUUGUUUCUUGUCAUUAAAGAUAAAAUAUCAUCUUUUGUUCAUUUUACCACUUGAAGAAAUGAAGUAGAAAAUAUUUGCCAGUGUUAUACAGGAAACAUUUAACAAAGUAUUUUUCAAUAUUAAAAAAAAAAAGAUGGAGAGUUGGGUAAUGAUGAACAUAAUAGCAUAAAAAUAAAGCAUGAAGCAUAAAAUAACUUCA
rnacentral:lncRNA from 1 species